GCGCUGUUGGUGUAGCGGUUAGCAUUGAAGCCUUCCAUCAUAGAACAGCUUUAGUCCGGGGUUCGAAUCCCCGACAGUGCA
rnacentral:tRNA from 1 species